rnacentral:rRNA from 1 species
CAUCGCCCAAAGCUCUGUAUUUUGGGUACCGCCUGCCCACUGAUUUAAAUGGCCGCAGUAUUUUGACUGUGCAAAGGUAGCAUAAUCAUUUGUCUUUUAAUUGAAGGCUUGUAUGAAUGGCGUACCGUGGUAAAACCUUUCCCAAAAAUGACUAUUUAAUUUAAUAUGUAAGUUAAAAAGCUUACAUAAUAAUGCAGGACGAGAAGACCCCGUAGAGCUUAAUAAAAUUAACACAAUUUUAUUUAGGAAUUAUUAAAAUGUGAUGUAUAUUUGUUUGGUUGGGGCGACUUGAAGUAAAUUAACACUUUAAAUUAAAACUCUAAUAGAUGGAUAUUUGACCCGGUAGCCGAUUUAAAAAUAAAGCUACCUUGGGGAUAACAGCGUAAUCUAGUUUAAGAGUUCUUAUCAAAAACUAGGAUUGCGACCUCGAUGUUGGAUUAAGAGACAAAUUAAGUGUAGCUGCUUAAUAUUGGAGUCUGUUCGACUUUUAAAUUCUUACAUGAUCU